rnacentral:rRNA from 1 species
ACGAACGCUGGCGGCGUGCUUAACACAUGCAAGUCGCACGGAAAGGCCCUGCUUGCAGGGUGCUCGAGUGGCGAACGGGUGAGUAACACGUGGGUGAUCUGCCCCUUAUUUUGGGAUAAGCCUGGGAAACUGGGUCUAAUACUGGAUAGGACCAUGCUGUAGGUGGUGUGGUGGAAAGAUUAGUUUCGGUAAGGGAUGAGCUCGCGGCCUAUCAGCUUGUUGGUGGGGUAAUGGCCUACCAAGGCGUCGACGGGUAGCCGGCCUGAGAGGGUGGACGGCCACAUUGGGACUGAGAUACGACCCAGACGCCUACGGGAGGCAGCAGUGGGGAAUAUUGCACAAUGGGCGCAAGCCUGAUGCAGCGACGCCGCGUGGGGGAUGACGGCCUUCGGGUUGUAAACUCCUUUCAGCCAUGACGAAGCCCUUGUGGUGACGGUAGUGGUAGAAGAAGCACCGGCUAACUACGUG